UUACUGUAAAAAAAGAAAGUCAAAAAAUUGUCCUGUCCGGGGUACAAAAACUCUAGAUGAGCCCAUCAAAUUCACAGUGAGCACGCACCGACAUGCAUUGGAUUUUUAUAGCGAUGAUGUAAAACGUUUUCGGCGUGAAUUAAUAGCUGCUGCUGAGAAGAACUUGUAUCCAAUUAACGAAAUUUAUACGACAAUUGCUAAAUCGCAUCUUGAAGAUGUUACAAUUCAAUUGCCAUAUGCAGUUAUUAGUACUGUGAUACGUCAACAUCAAAAGGAAGCUGCAGACGAUUUAACGGAGUUACUGACUUACAAGGAUUUUGUAGAUUUUUUUGAACGUGCUGAAAAUUUAUGUUUCAUGCGAUAUGCCGAUAAAAAAAACGUUAUAGUGUCAAAUGUUGAUAAUGAUGCAUUACUGAUCGGCGACCCAGAGUUUAGCAAGUCGGGUUAGUGCGAUACUAUACAUAUCAGCUCAACAGCAAAUAUUCUCCCUGAUUUUAAUAGCACUCGUCUCCUGACCUUCAUUCUAGGACAAGAUGGACAUUAUGCGUUUUCCAUUGGUAUCAUUCUGUGGACUAAGGUGGCCCGUGAGCCAUGUACGGAAAUUUUGAAUCAAGUGAAACAGCGUUUAAUACCAAACGUAAAUAUCGCUAAAAUUUACGUAGAUUUUGAUUUAAAACUAUUUGUGGAGGAAGUUUUCCCAGAAAGUGACGUCCGUGGAACGUUUAAUAAUUAUUGUCGUAUAAUAUUUCACGAAGCCCUAAGAAAUAAUGAUCUACGCCUUAUGAUUCCUGAACAUGAAGAAUUCUUGAAGAAAUGUUUUUCUUUAAUUCUUUUACUUUCAAAUAAGAUUAAGGAAGGUUUUGAAGAAAUCAGUAACAGCUUACCGGUGGAAAUUAAAGCUCAGCUGACAAAUUUUAUAAAUUACUUUAACAGAGUAUGAAUAGAAGGAGUAACUCCGAGAUCGAUGAGCUUAUAUGAAAAGGUCAAAAGCUUAAAUACUGUCCCCAUAUUGUUCCGGACUACUCUUGAAAAUUAUAUGGGCGAGAAACCUUCGCUGCGGAAAUUUUGGAGCAAUUUCAUUGUUCUUCUUAAUAAAUCGACGAAUGAGCGUUAACGACAAUCGAUUAAGAAGAAUUCGUAUGUCUCUGUAGCUAUUCGGCUUAACUUAUUCUUCAACAAGAAAUUAAUGAUAAGCUUAUGGCAAUCAUUCGCAAAGGCUAAAGUAAAAUUGCCACAAUUUUUAAGUACGGUAGCGAUUUAUUAUACAGAUCAUUACUGGGAUUUACUCCAUAAUGCAGAAUUUCCGAUUGAGGAGCAGUUGGAUCUAUAUCCUCCUUUGGAAAAUGAAGAUGUUCAAGAAGCAAUUGGAGAUGACGUAGAGGAAGUUUAUGAAAAUGUUCAGUAUGCUAAUUAUGAAAUGGAAGGUAAUAUAUUAUUUAUUCAUUAUUUACUGUAUAUAGAAUGUAAAUUGAUAGAUAAAUGUUUUAUAAAAUAUUUAAAAUUUAGAUAAAAA